rnacentral:lncRNA from 1 species
UGCUGAUUCAAGACAUGGAAGCUGAAGCUGUAAUCAGAUUGGGGCUCAGAAGAAUCCCACAGUUCCAGAAGUCAUUUUAAGAACACUUAGAAAACCCUUGGAAUUCCUCUUCAGGGAGUUUUUGUUCUUGUAGGUUAUUUCCCUCACCUGCAUGGACAUGGCUGGCUCCCCACCAUCCCUCUCUGUGUUUCAGCCCAUGGAAAUGGAGAAAGAGAAGUAGAAGAAAAGUGCCUUCUUUAAGAAUAUGAUGUGGAAGUUCCACUCUCACAUCCUAUUGGCCACACAUGGUCACAUGGCCACAUGUAGAUAAAGGAGAGCUUGAGAAAUAGUGUUUAGCUCCACUGCAAACUUGGCUGGGGAGAAUCCAUAACUAAAGGAAAGAGGGAAGAAACAAAGACAAGGAAAAUUAGUACUCACUGCCCACAACAGAGAUAAUGGCUAUGCAUUUCAGCUACCAAGAAAGUUUUGGAAAAAAUACAACACUCCCCAGAUCCCCUUUGAAGCAUUGUUCAGUCAAGCAUGAUAAUGGGUUGCAGGCCAAUUCAUAUCUAUCUGCCCCUUCAUAUUGGAUAUUCUAAAAUUUCUCAGGUAUUAGCUAGAGAAAGCUUACUACAGAGGGCUG